GGCAGCGGACCUACCUGCACCAGUCGAAGACCAAGAGGAGACAGAAGAAACAAAUGAUGACGACAGCGUGGCCAGGUCCCCUCUACCUGAGAUACCUGCUGCCUCAUCUGCCUCCAAGUCUCAGUUCCUUGGCCCUUCAUCCUUGGCUGCUGCUGCUGCAUCCACUCCCAUAGUAGGAGGAGGAGAGUGCGACUCCGGGAUGAGCCAUCUGAGGUGGAACAC